CACCACAAGCUGGUGAAGCUGCCAGCAUGAUCUGAUCGAUCUGAUGAUGAUCUACCACCUCUCUCGAUCUCUCUUUUGUUCUUGAUUGUGUUACAGAUCGAUGGAUCGAUCAGGUCAUGCUGUAGUUUCAUCUGCUGGUUGG
rnacentral:pre_miRNA from 1 species